CUCACUCACUCACUCCCCGCUGGAGCUGGAGCCGGACUGGCCGCGCCGCUGGGAGAACUUCAGGCAGAGCCCUUUCAUCACAGGCGCAAAGACUGGGAAUGGGCCCGCUACGUUCGCUUUUAUGAGACGAGCGGGAAAUCAUGGUGCGACAGGAGCAGGAAAGGAGAUCAAGAACAGAUUGCGUGUAUUGGUAAAAAAAUUGCUUCUAAAAUUGUCUCCGACGAGACCACAACAGAAAAGUGACUUCAUCGUGUGGUAAGCCCCAACGCAAAACACUAUUGUCCAGAUGCAAAUGCAAUUUGCCUGUGGGUCAGAGAGAGAUCAGGCACCUCUUGAUCUUAACUGAUGGCAUAGUGAGCAGAAUAAAGUGCAUGAAGUGAGCAACCCACAUAUCAUCAGGAAGAAGGCAGGGCAUUCUGGAGAUCCUUGUUUGAAUACCAUCUGAUACAAUGCACCAGAAACGUGAGGAGUCGUUCAUUCUAGUUGCUUUAAUCAGUCAUAGUCAGCUUUCCCGUAGUGCUUUACUCUUUGGGUCCUUUCACACAACCAUAUAACACAGAAUAUCAAGGCAGAAAAUCCCACAAUAUCUGCUUUGAACUGGGUGAUCUGAGUCCACACUGCCAUAUAUUCCAGUUCAAAGUAGAAAAUGUGGGAAAUUAUUCAGUUGUGUGGAAGGGGCCUUUUUCUUUCUUCUUUUUUUUCUUAAUUUAUUUAAAUUAUUGAAAAAUUGUAAAUUUUACAUAUUUGGUACUUAAAACUUCUUAUACAUUCUUUAACAAAUUUGCAGUACAGGGGCCUUAUAAUAAUAUAAUACAGGGGCCUGAUGUGCUUCCACGGCUGAAGUGCAGUCGGUAGUGGUUAAACUAACCCUGGUGGUCUGCUCCCUACCUUUACAGCAAUAGCACAAACUGGGCAUUGUGAAACAUAACACUAUAUAACAUUUGAAAAAAAUCUGUUCCUGGUUUGAAAGUGUUAUUUCCUGUUUAAUUGCAUGGUACUUACCAUAUAUACUCGAGUAUAAGCCGACCCUAAUAUAAGCCGAGGCACCUAAUUUUACCACAAAAAACUGGGGAAACUUACUGACUCGAGUAUAAGCCGAGGGUGGGAAAUGCAGCAGCUACUGGUAAAUUUCAGAAUGAAAAUAGAUCCCAAUGAAAUUAUAUUGAGGCACCAGUAGGUUAAAAGUUUUUGAAUAUUUACCCUAUUUCAAAGAAAAACAGUAUAACUAGCUCUGUAAGUGGAAAGGUAGGGUCAACAAAAACAAUAUGGUAUUAACAAUAACAAUAAACUUCAUUUGUACCCUGCCCUAUCUUCCCCUGGGGACUCAGGCCAGCUUCCAACAUAGUAACAGGCAAACAUUCAAUGCCUACAUAAACAAUGCAGAGCUAGAUAUACAUCUGUAAUUAUACUAAUUUCACAUAUGCAUUUCCCCAUGAAACGUUUGCAAAUCCUCUCUCUAUAUGUGCAUUUUCCUCCUGCAAUAUUUGCAAGCCCUAUAUAUUUAUGUUUAUAUCUAUCUAGAAAUCUGUGUGUGUGCAUUUCCCUUACAAUAUUUGCAAGACCUAUAUAUCUAUAUUGAUAUCUAUCUUAUCUAGACAUCUCUCUAUAUAUACUUAUAUCUGUAUAGGAUUUGCAAAGACUUGCAAACGGGAAAAUUCAUAUAUAAAAUAAUGUAUACACAUAGAUACAAAUAUACAGGUACAUGGAAAUAUCUAGAUAUCUAUAUGUAUAUAAGAUUUGCAAAUACUUGCAAACAUAUGAGAGGAAAUUCAUAUAUAAAAUUAAUGUAUAUAGAUAGAUUGAUACAAAUAUAAAGGAACAUAGGGACUGCAAAGGCUUGCAGGGGGAAAUGCCUAUAUAUCUGUAGCAGAGAUUAACAAAUAUUUUAGAGGAAAAUGCUUCUUCUUGACUUGCAAGGGCUUAUUUUCCUUUUCAAAACAUUCCCUUGGUUAAGUGCGAGGGAGGCUUUGGAAAAGUAAACACUGAUAAGGGAGGGUAGGAGGAGAGAUAAAUAUGUCCUAUAUUGCAAGCAAUGGCCACCAGGCUCCGCUGCCGGCUUGACCUUUAGCCGAUUAUAAGCCGCCAGAGGCUUUUUCAGCUCAUAAAAAGGGCAGGAAAACUCGGCUUAUCUUCGAGUAUAUACAGUACAUUGAAAGUAGUUGUUAUAAUCCAGAAACUUUGUUUUUGUGGCCGCCACAAACUAUGUUGAAUUGGUUGAGACUCCAUGAGAUAUGAACUGAAAAACUAUCACAAUAUAUGCUGCAGAUGACCUGCAAAACCAAAGUUUUUGCAGUUUAAUAAACUUUUCCCGUGUUUCUAUGCUAGACCAAAUUAGGAAAUGAUAUUUAUAGCCCAGUAACAAAAGUCGUGUCACAUAGUGUAAUCUUUGAUAUAUUGUGUUGUCGAAGGCUUUCGUGGCCGAAAUCAUAGGGUUGUUGUGUGUUUUCCGGGCUGUAUGGCCAUGUUCCAGAAAUAUUCCCUCCUGACGUUUCACAACCUCUGAGGAUGCCUGCCAUAGAUGUGGGCGAAACGUCAGGAGAGAAUACUUCUGGAACAUGGCCAGAACAUGGCCAUACAGCACAAAAACACACACAACAACCCUUUGAUAUAUUGUUUUAACUCUGGCCACCAGUAUUGUCUCCAACUCUAAUGUCCUCAUAGAAUCAUAAAGUUUGAAGAGUCCACAAGGGUCAUCCAAUUCAACCAUCUGAUGUGCAAGAAUGCACAAAGCAAAGGACUCCUGACUGAUGGCCAUCUAGCCUCAGUUUAAAAGCCUCCAGAGAAGGAGCCUCCACCAAGGAGUGAGUUCCAUUGCCAAACAGCUCUUAUGGUAAGGAAGUUUUUCCUAUGUUCAGUGGAAUAUCCUUUCGUGUAAUUUGAACCCACUUAAACACUGUGUUGUGGAGAAAAACCAUUUAACAGGGGCAGGGAGUUGGGAGGACAUCUAAGGAUGACAAAGCUCCUCAGCAUGGAAAAUUGAGUGGUCAGAGUUGAGCAUAGCCUCCAGUUGCCAGAAAUGGAAAAGAUGGGAAAAACCUUUACCAUGUUUAUGUAUUGUCUGUCUUUGUUAAUUGUAUAACAGCAUUUAAUGUUUGCCGUAUAUGUGUUCUGUAAUCUGCCCUAAGUCCCCUCAGGGAAAUAAAGUGGAAUAUAAAUAAAGUAUAUUAUUAUUAUUAUUAUUAUUAUUAUUAUUAUUAUUAUUAUUAUUAUUGUAUGUUAUAGAGAUUACACAAUUGAAUUAAUAGGGAAGAAAUGAAAGUGGAUUAAUAAUAAUAAUAAUAACUGUGAAUAAUUUGCAGUUGUUAACAAAACAAAACUUAAAAAACCUCACAAAGGAACAUUUCAGAAUAGAAUUUCAGAUCAGACUCUCAAUCCCAAUAUCAUAGUAGGGUGAUAAUAUGAUCAUAUUAUGCAUUACAGUCUUUAUGGGGCUGUAAAGUGAAGUCCACGACACGUGAGUGUGGAGAAGAGCAAACCACAGAACACUUACUACAAUGCAGUCUGAUCCCUGCCACAUGCACAAUGGAGGCCCUUCUUACAGCGACAAUAGAGACACUUGAAGUGGCCAGCUUCUGGUCAAAGGAAAUUUAGCAUAACGCCAAGUUUUUAAACUUUGUGUUUUUAUACAUUAUAUCUGUAUUCUCCAUUUGCUUAUGACACAAUAAAUAAAUAAUAAACAAAAUUUAAAACAAAAUGGUUUUGCGUUGAAACACUGCAGCAAGAAAGACAACAUAUCCGUUGUUUAAUAUGUUUAAUAUGUGACCUUUGCAAAAAUAAAAAAAUAGAUAAAUAGAUAACUCCCAAGAUGCAGAGAGGAAAUAGUACCGCAUCCCUUCAAAGUGCAGUCAGAUUCUGGAUUUUAAGAAAACACCAUUUGGUUGAAAAUCUAAAGAGUGUUGUUGAAAUGUUUGUUUCAGAUUUCAGUCUGGACCAAAAAGAUGAGGCUUCGUGGAGAUCUCAGACCCCAUUCUUCACCCAUUCAUGGACCCCACUUUUAUCAAUAAUCAGAGGGGCAUGGAAUUCUUUGUCCUUCACAAACUCCUCCAGGCCCUGAAAAAGCAGCAGAUUUAGUAAUAUUAGACGGUAAUAAAAAAUCAAGUACAAUUAAAACAUAGAUCUAGCUUCAGCCAGCAUGCCAACACCUUAAAUCAAGAAACAGAUUUCUAAGAUCUACAGAGAUACUCGCAGGAACAAAAGAGGCAGGUAAAAACCCAGAACCUCAAUCAGUGGCUGAGACCGGAUGAGAAACUCCCUCCUGCGCACACAGAAGACUGGGCGACUUGGAAGGCACUGAACAGACUGCUCUCUUGUAUCACAAAAUGCAGAGCCAAUCUUAAGAAAUUGAGCUACAAAGUGGAGUCCACGACAUGCAAGUGUGGAGAUGAGCAAACCACAGACUAUUUACUACAAUGCAGUCUGAGCCCUGCUACAUGCACCAUGGAGGACCUUUUUCAUCUUCUGCAUCAACAGGCCCAUUAUCUCCAAGUUGAGCACUUUUUACCUUUUGGUGGAAGACUGAGGUAAAGAAGGUGUUGAGUAGUUCUGCUUUUGUCUGUCCCCUAUUAACAUUUUGCCAUCACCUGUACUGUACACAUUUACCAUCACAUGUACUCAUUGGCCCUACCAUUUCCUUGUUCUUCCUUUUGCUACGGACAUAAUCAAAAAGCCAUUUUUUUGUUUUUAACCUCUCUAGGAAGCCUGCACUUUGGCUUUUCAAACUUUCUCCCUAUAUGUGCCUUUGAAUUCCUCUUUGAUGCUUUCUCCCUUUUGCCAUUUCCUGUAGAUGUCCCUUUUAAUAUUAGCUCGUUUGAAAGUUCCUUAGAAAACCAUUCCAGUUUCUUUAGACACCGCUUAUUUUUUUUCUCCUCAUUGGAACUGUGUACAACAAUGUGACUGCCUCCGAUAUCUCGCUUUUCAAAAACUCCCAUCCACCAUUCCCUUUUUCUCUCUUAGUAUUGCUGACCAUUGGAUCACACUCAGUUUUCCCCUAAGUUUACUAAAGUCAACUUUCUUAAAGUCUAGAAUGCAUUAUCUGAGUAUGUUUAAUUUCCCUUUUCCACCGUAUAACAAACUCUACUAGAACAUGGACACUCCCACCUAAGGAGCCUAUCACUUCCACCCCAUUAAGCAAGUUUAAACUGUUGGUUAGGCUUAGCUAUAAAAUAACUGAUUCCCUGGUUGUCCACCUUCUGAUCCAUAAAAUUGUCUGGAAGACAAGUGAGGAAUUUCUUGGAUCUGAUAAUCCUUCGCAGAGUUUGUCUUCCAAUAAAUAGGAGGAUAACUCAAAUCUUUCAUCAUUACAACAGCUCUCUUUUCUGAAUGUAUGAUUAUCUGUUUCAGGAAGGCAUCACCCAAGUCCCCAGUCUGGCUUGGAGGUCUGUAGUAGACUCCUACAUGACAUCCCUGUUGUUUAAUCAGACAGUUCUUCAUAAUGUUUAUUUAUUUAUUUACAGUAUUUAUAUUCUGCCCUUCUCACCCCGAAGGGGACUCAGGGUGGAUUACAAUGAACACAUAUAUGGCAAACAUUCAAUGCCAACAGACAAACAACAUAUAUAGACAGACACAGAGGCAUUUAACAUUUUUUUCCCCAGCUUCACGAUUCCGGCCACAGGGGGAGCUGUUGCUUCACUGUCCACUAGUGGCUGUACUUCCUCAUUCCUUUCCUCGUGUUUUGCUGGCAGUUUUAUGAUGUUGUAAAUUAGUUAAAUUAGCCUCCCGCAUAAAGCGUACCUAAAUUUCCCUAAUUGACAGAUGCAACUGUCUUUCGGGGCUGCAUAGGUCAACAGCAAGCCGGGCUAUUUAAUGGUCGGGGGCUUAACCCAACCCGGGCUUUGAACUCAUGACCUCUCGGUCAGUAGUGAUUUAUUGCAGCUGGUUACUAGCCAGCUGCGCCACAGCCCGAAUCUCUUUGCUUGUACUUUGAAUCCAUUGAUCUGUGUCCUAUUCUCUGGAGCAGCAUUCAUGCCAUCCCUCCAAUUUUUUAAAGGUGACUAUCAUAUCACAUCUGAGUUUUCUCUUCUUCAUAUUAGACAUACCCAACACACUUAACCACUACUUACAGGGACUGGGUGUUCAUACCUUUUACUACCUUGUAGGCCAGAGUUUCCAAAACUCUGAUCUUCCAGGAAUUUUGGACUUCAGCUCCCCUAUCAGAAUCCCCUAUCAUUGGCCAGGUCAACCAAGAAGUUUGAGAACCACUAAUGUAGGCCUUUUCAGUUAGUUUAUCUCUCAAUUACACCAAAUAGAGUAGACAUUCAACAUCUAAUUUCCACAGAGCUUAUGCUGAAGACAUUCCCAGCAGAUUUCAUCUAAUAUUAAGAUGUCUUAAACCUUAGUACAGAGUGAUAAAAAAAGUAAACAAGGGAUAACGUACUUCACCCCCAUAGGACACAAGAGGAGAAAUCUCACACUGAAUUGGGACAUCACUGGCAUCCUCCAAACUAAAGCAGAAAAGAAAAAAAGCACAAAGUUAGACAGGAGAAGAGUUCAUUGUUUUUGCAUUUUAAAGGCCAUUGCUACGAGAUUAGCAUUUUGAUCUGCUCCUGCCAAGAAAAAAGUUCAGCAGCAGAUGAAGCCAAAAUGAUGUCCAGGCAGAAGGUGCAUCACCUGUAUCCCCAGAGAUUAGUUAAGCGUGCAACAUGAAUGUAUUAAAUGCAUAUCAAGAAAGGUGCAAUAGCUGCAACAAAGAACAGGAAGUAAAAGAUUUAACCCUCCAGCUUCAUAUAAAUACCGUUUUAAAACCAUUUUCCAGGUUUUAAAAAAUAAGUUGGAAUAUGCAGAGAAUUUUAAAAUGUCAUAAAAACAUUUCGUCUAGAUGUUUCUCUUGCUAUAAAAAUGAAGCAAGGGAUUGAGCCCACUAGGAAUCGUAGUUAUAAAUGAAUACUCAAUUACAGCAAAGAUCCUAUAUGGAAAAGCAGCACAAAUAUUGUGUUACUGCAUCUUCAAACUUCAGGAAAAUAGGCUAAGUUAAAUAUAGAAUCCAAACCAGACUUGCACAAAAACUAAACAAAUAUAGUGGAGCACUAAUUUGUGCACAAAUGAAUUCUUAUUUAAGCCCUGAAGAUACUUCACAGAUUUUCCAAAGGAAUGUAGCUCACUUACCGCUAUAUUUGAUUUCAACCAUGGCACAAAGCUACAGGAUUUACUAGUCGGACAUGCAGUGCCUUGCAAGUGUAAGCCUUGUUUAGUAUUAGAUCAAAGAGUUCUUGCAAAGCAAGUACAUCAUCGCAACAAUGCUUUUCCCUGAAAAAGCAGGUUAAGCACUAAGGUCCUACAUGCUGCAGAAAGAUCUCCCACUCAGUACCCAAGCACAGACCCAUCACCAUGCAUUCCCAGCAACCCAAUAUAUUUACUUGUGAUUGACAUCAGCUUGAUUCACAUCUGAACUUCCAUUAGUGCAGCUGUCAGAUGGGAAAAAAGGGAUUGUUGAGAAGAUUUACCUGACAGACCUAGAUGAUGCCUACUAGGCAUGUUUGUUUAGUCAAUAAUUCCAUCUGAGAGAUAAGCUUAAGCCAUCAUAUGCCACACAAAAUGAUAAUGAUCUGCUACCCAUCUUCUACUAAAUAAACAGACUCUUUCACACCUAUCAUGCAUUAAUUUGACCUUUUGACUUUUUGUUGUUACUCCUAUCUGCAAGUAUAGUUUUGAACAAAUUAAGUCUGAAUUUGGAGUGUGCUUAUGUAGCAACGAUUUAAUGUCUAAAAUGUGUACAUUUUCAUUGAGAUUUGAAAUGGAAGAACAGAUUAAAGAAUAUCAUAUAUUCUUUAUUAUCUAAUUUUCUUUAAUUUGUUCUUCUGCCAUUUCAAGAUAAAAUAAAAGAGACUAAGAUUUUUGGUUGUAAUAUAGAGGUGGAGAACUGGGAACGUGUGGCCAAAGAGAUUGAAAUUUACAUUAUGUUAUGAUCAAAAAAAGAAUGUCUAACUGUGUGCAAAGUGACAUUGUAUUGUUUCUGUGGACAUAUGAAAAAGCUAAUAAAAUGGGUUCCAAAUACACACACUGAUGCAGAAGAUUUUAAAGAGUAAAACUCAAUUAAAACCAAAAGGAUUUCUGUUGGGAUUGAUGGAUGACCAUCUGGAGGAGAUCCAUGGGAGACUACGACAAUAUAUGAUCACAGCACAGAGAGUUUUAUGUGCACAAAGAUGGAAGAAAUCAGAUUUCCCAACUAUAGAAAACUGGUUGGUGAAAUUGAUUAGUUUAGUGGAAAAUAAUAAUAACAACAACAACAACAACAACAACAACAACAACAACAACAGGAAAAACUCAGCCCCUGUCAGGACCUCAAGAUCAAACUUCUAAGACUCUGGCAGAAACCAGUACAGGUGGUCCCGGUGGUAACUGGCACAUUGGGUGCCAUGCCAAAAGUUCUCAGCUGGCAUUUGGAAACAAUUGACAAAAUUAUGAUAUGUCAACUGCAAAAGGCCACCCUUCUGGGAUCUGCGCGCAUCAUUUGAAAAUACAUCACACAGUCCUAAACGCUUGGGAAGUGUUCAACUUGUGGUUUUGUGAUACGUAAUCCAGCAUAUCUAUCUUGUUUGCUGUGUCAUACUAUGUUUUUGUGUCAACAAUAAUAAUAAUAAUUUGUAUUAUUAUUGUAGUUAUAUAAUAACGCUAUAAUAAGAAGAAUUAUUAACUCUAUUUCUAUCCCACUUUUCACCCCGUAAGACUCAAGGCAGCUAACAGUCACACAACAAAAUAAAAAUGUAAAAUAAAACAAAUACAAAAUUAACAUAAUUUAAUAUUAGUGCAUGAAUAUAAAGUUAAAAUAAAAUUAAAAUACAAAAAAUACAAAAAAUAUUAAAAACUCACCAUCCUCCCAAAAUCCUACCCACAGCCUCCUCAGUGACCUGCCUCUUAUCCUCUCACAAAUGCCUGUUGGUAUUGAUAUGUCUUAACCUGUCUAUUUAAAAGGCAAACAGGGAUGGAGCCAUCCUGGUCUCUCUUGGGGGGAGUUCCAAAGUCUGGGAGCAGCUACCAAAUAGGUCUCUUCCUUGUUCCCACCAAAUGCACCUGGUGGGACAGAGUCCUCAUCUCCGGUCACAGAAAACAAGCCUGCUCGCUCUUCUUUAUGACUUCAUUUCAAAGACUUAAGCAUGGUGAUCAUGUCUCCUCUUAACCUUCUCUUCUGCAGUAAUCUUUCUUAAAAAUAGGGACCUCUUAGCAAAAAAAAAGUAAAGGAAAAGCCUUGCUAAUUUUUAGUCUUGAUAAUUAAAAAUGAUUAGUUAUAAAGAAGCACACCUGUAUUGAUAUUAAAGAGUUACGAAUAGUUAUGAGUAACUAUUGAGAGGAAGAUCAGAAAUAUUUUGUAUUCUUUUAUAUUUUUCUUUAUUUCUUUCAUCUUUCUUUUUCAUCCAUCUUUUAUUGUAUUUUUAUAAUCUGUAAUAAAUUAAAAAUAACAGGAGAA